rnacentral:rRNA from 1 species
UACGUAGGCAGCACGCGUUGUUCGGAGUUACUGGGCGUAAAGCGUGCGUAGGCGGUUUCGUCAGUUUGGUGUGAAAUCUCCCGGCUUAACUGGGAGGGUGCGCCGAAAACUGCGGGGCUGGAGUGUGGGAGAGGCAAGCGGAAUUCCUGGUGUAGCGGUGAAAUGCGUAGAUAUCAGGAGGAACACCGGUGGUGUAGACGGCUUGCGGGACCAUGACUGACGCUGAGACCCGAAAGCGUGGGGAGCAAACAGG